AUUGAUUUUAAUUAAUAAUAUAUUUUAAUACACAUUCUUUAAAAUGAAACUAACAUUAAAUUGGUUUAACAGGUUGCCAUUUAAACACAUUAAAUGAACGAGAAGACAAAAAAAGGAUUUGAAACCUGGAAAAUUGUAGGAAAUGUAUGCAGUCCAAUUUACACUAUGUAAGGUUGCAACGCAAUGCUCUGUCAGUCUGUUACAUUGCUUAUUUCACCAUCAGUGGUAUUAUUUUUCUUUUUAUAAACAUCUAUUGUUGGAGGCACUUCCCUGAUAUUUACAGUUAGGAAUAAAAUUCGAGCACCAUACAGUCAUUCUCUAGAUCUUUCAACAAAUGCGAGAGAGUUAAAGUUCAGUUGGAUGGUCAUAUUGAAAACACCAAUAUCUACAAUGGUGUUGUCUUUCCUGGACUAUAUUCUUGAUUUGCUGUUUUCGUCUUCAUCUUCACCUUGCAGCAUUUUAAUUUCCACUGAAGCAACAAGUUUUCUGCUAUGGUAUUCCUCCUAAAUUUGGUUUGCUUUUCACACCUGCAAACUUUGGAAUGUCACUGUUCAUGUUGGAAUGUUACUGGAAUGUCUGCUGUUCAUUAAGAUCGACGGUGGAGAAGAAAGAAGAACACCCCGUAGCUAAAAUACUUGUCUAUUUUGCAUGUUUUUUAUAGUUUGGUGUAUUUGAAUCAAUUUUUUAUUGUAGAUGUUUUUAUUUUUGUAGUAUUCUUUUAAUUUUUUUAGUAGCAGCGGUAGAACUAACCGUUUUUUUUUUAGAUGAAACUAUCAUUAAAUUGUUUCGACAGGUUAUGAUUUUAACACAUGAAACGAACAAGGUGAAAAAAUAAGGAUUGGAAACUUGGACUCUCCACAACCUCUUAUACUUGAAAGGUGCAAUUUCAGUGAUGUUGUGUGUUUUGCGUGUUGGCUCAUUUCACCAUCAGUGUAUUUCUUCGUUGUCAACGUUUAGGAAUAGAAGUGGAGCACCCUACUGUCUACAAUAAUCCCGGAGGUUAGCAAUUGUUUAUUAUUUUGACGGUAAUUUUCACAGCGAUGGCGAUCCUUGGGAUCUAUGGUUUCUCUUCUGUCAUCUAUUGGCCUUAGCAUAAAUUGAUGAUAGCGUGCAUCUAAGAUUAUCCAACAAAUGAAAGAGACUAAUGUUCAACUUGGUCAUACUGAAACAGUCAAGGUCUACAGUGGUGUUGUCUUUUGUGAACUAUAUAUUCGUGAUUUGCUGUUUUCGUCUUCAGCUUGCAACAUCAUGAAGUUAAUUUUCAACUGAUAAAUGAGAGCAACAGGAGAUUUACUGAAACAACAUUUUGUGCUGUGGUAUUCCUUCUGGAUUUAGUCUGCAUUUCACAUCUGCAAACUUUGAAAAGUUACAGUCUACAAUUAAUUAAGGUGGGAAUACUUGAUAUAAUUAAUUUUAAUUGCUCUUUAUUAAUCUGUUUGCCACCGUA